GCUGGGUGUGGUGGUGUGCACCUGUAAUCCCAGCUACUUGGGAGGCUGAGGCAGGAGAAUUGCUUGAACCUGGGAGGCAGAGGUUGCAGUGAGCCGAGAUCGCGCCACUGCACUCUAGCCUGGGUGACAGAGUGAGACUCUGUCUCAA
rnacentral:SRP_RNA from 1 species